GGGGGAUGAUGUGAUCAUGGACAGCACUGAAGACAUAGAGCUAGAACCUGAGGAAAGAGAGCUUGUAGCUGAGGAGCAAGAGUCUGAACAAAAAGAUGCUUUAGUCAUUCCGAAUGGGCCCAUGACAAGAUCAAGGACUAAGAAGCUUAAGGAGGCCGUAGGUGGAGUUCUAAGGCAAGCACAACACUCGGCUCAAGAGGGAAAAGAGUUCAUCACAAAUACUUUGGUUGUGAUCCAAGUCCUUGAAGCUUAGUGACUUGUGAUCCAAUCUUGUACUCUUUUUCCCCACCACUAGUUUUGUCCCAAUGGGUUUUCUAGUGAUGGGUUUUUAAUGAGGCAAGGUUGGAUCACACUCUCAAUAAGGUCCACUAAGUUUAGCCCAAAGAGUCGGCCAAGAGAAGAGGAGCGUAUAGAGACAUUUGAAUUCAACUUAGACAGCUCACACUUGUAUUUCCUAAGUAUGCUUAUUGAUGGCCGAGACUCUCUUCUUU
rnacentral:lncRNA from 1 species